GACGAACGCUGGCGGCAGGCCUAACACAUGCAAGUCGAGCGGAGCGGCGGACGGGUGAGUAAUGCCUGGGAAUCUGCCCGGUAGUGGUGGAUAACGUCCGGAAAAGGGCGCUAAUACCGCAUACUAUCAGAUGAGCCUAGGUCGGAUUAGCUCGUUGGUGGGGUAAAGGCCUACCAAGGCGCAGAACCGUAACUGGUCUGAGAGGAGGAGCAGUAACCCGGGAACUGAGACACGGUCCAGACUCCUACGGGAGGCAGCAGUGGGAAAUAUUGGACAAGGGGCGCAAGCGUGAUGCAGCCAGGCGGCGUGGAUGAAGAAGGCCUUAGGGUUGUAAAGUACUUUCAGCGGGGAGGCGUUACCCAAAGAAGAAGCACCGGCUAACUCCGUGCCAGCAGCCGCGGUAAUUC
rnacentral:rRNA from 1 species